AACUCCAGUACCUUUGCUUCCGACCAAGUGGCAGCCCUUUUUUCAGUGGAAUUUUGGAAUAUUUGUUGUUCCAUUUGUGCGCUUUCCAGUCGGUAUAAUUACAAGGGAUACAUAAACAUAAAUAAGGCAAUAUCUCUGCCAAGAGCUGGAGAGUUAAUUGAUUUACGACCUUCAAUAAAAUCGCCUAGAACCGAACCAAGCCCCAGGCGAUAAAGAAUUUUAACGAUCCGCAAAAACAAAAAGGAGGGAAAACUGGAAGCAGGCCAUGGCCAUGGAAUGGGCUGCUUGAAAGAACCAGAAUGAAGUGAAGCCAAUUUCCAGGGCCACAAACCUCUCUGCCCAGACACUUUAAAAUUUAACGCCUCUGGGAGCAGCAGAGCCGCAGAGCCACAGAUCGGAGCGACAAUGGAGACAACUCUGUGCAACGACAGUGAAUAUUCCACGAAUAUAGUCUGUGUGUGCGCGCACUUCUGGAUAUGGAGUGCAGUGCAGAGAUGACGAUGCCGAUGCCCAGAUGCCCAGAUGCCCAGAUGCAGAUGCAACAAGCGACAACAACCGACAACGAUGACAACGUUGAUGGCAAUUUUGGAGCGCGGCUCGCGUCAAUUUGUGAAGAGGAGAAGGGUCCACACGAGGGACCGCAGCCAGACGCCGAUCCAGAGCCCCACACUCCCGCUGCAAGAACCAGAACCAAAGCCAAUGGCAGCCACUGCUGCGUGUCAUGGGGGUGAUUGUUGUUGGAGUUCCAGGAAAGACGCCUUCGGGCUCUUUGGGAUGGAGUGCGCGAGUAUGAAAAUAUUUCAUAUUUAUUCAACCUCGCUUUGGGGCAUUGUGCGUUUCGGGUAGCCAGAUCUUGCCACAGGAACAGGCUCCAACUGCGACUCGGACUCGGACUCCCAUUCCCAUUCCCAUUGGAGGGGCGAAAAGCGAAACUAAUUUGCGGUUCUGUUAGUGCAAUUUCCUCUCGUUUUUCGAGACAGCUUUUUGUUAUUGUUAGUGCCACACGCCCCGUACCGCCCCGCCCCAUUCUUAUGUAUGGGGAAUAAGUACUGAUUUUUUUUUUGGGACCAGCGGCACACACACGCAUCUCACUCUCUCCCUCCCUCCUUCCGGCCACUUUGUUCGAUUUUAGGCGAAAAUUUUGUUUGGCUUCCGAUGGAAGAAGGGAGCCUUAAUUAAAUCUCUGAUUGAGGGAAUUCACUCUCGUCUUGGAAAUUAGUUUAGUGAGAAAGUUUAUCAAUUAAAUGGAGGAACCAGACAACCAUCCAGACAGCCAUUGCAUUUGAUUGGGUUCUUGUUCCUUCUCCACUCUGAGGGUCACGCAAAACACGAGACGAACGUCCAUCCAGGGGGAGGUGGGAGGCUGACUUCAAAGAACAUUUGAACUGCGUACAGAUUUUCGGAGAAAAGAUACAUUUUGGUAAGCAUUUAUUUGGUUUCGUUGAUUGGUUUUUGGGCAAAUAUUUUCUAAAUAU